UGUGGGAUAGCUGAGUCAAAUGGUUUUCUAAGUUUUCUAAGGAAUCUCCAUACUGCUUUCCAGAUUGGUUGCACCAAUUUGCUUUCCCACCAGCAAU
rnacentral:pre_miRNA from 1 species